rnacentral:rRNA from 1 species
CCUACGGGUGGCAGCAGUAGGGAAUAUUGCUCAAUGGAGGAAACUCUGAAGCAGCAACGCCGCGUGGAGGAUGAAGGUUUUCGGAUUGUAAACUUCUUUUGUUAGAGAUGAUAACGACGGUAUCUAACGAAUAAGCACCGGCUAACUCCGUGACAGCAGCCGCGGUAAUACGGAGGGUGCAAGCGUUACUCGGAAUCACUGGGCGUAAAGAGCGCGUAGGCGGGAUAGCAAGUCAGAUGUGAAAUCCUAUGGCUUAACCAUAGAACUGCAUUUGAAACUGUUAUUCUAGAGUAUGGGAGAGGUAGGUGGAAUUCUUGGUGUAGGGGUAAAAUGCGUAGAGAUCAAGAGGAAUACUCAUUGCGAAGGCGACCUGCUAGAACAUAACUGACGCUGAUGCGCGAAAGCGUGGGGAGCAAACAGGAUUAGAUACCCCUGUAGUC